ACGAGUUAGGGUCUUCCAGGCCCGACCUCCCAACCCUCUGUCUAUUGAACCUUUUGUUGCUUCGGCGGGCCCGUCCCCCCGUGGACCGCCGGAGGACCGCCGCGAGGCGUUCGUCCUCUGGCCCGCGCCCGCCGACGGCCAACCCUUCAAAACUCUGAAUCAAUCAUGUCUAUUGUCUGAGUCUUAUGAUUAAAUAAAAGCA
rnacentral:misc_RNA from 1 species